AUUGAACGCUGGCGGCAUGCCUUACACAUGCAAGUCGAACGGUAACAGGUCUUCGGAUGCUGACGAGUGGCGAACGGGUGAGUAAUACAUCGGAACGUGCCCGAUCGUGGGGGAUAACGGAGCGAAAGCUUUGCUAAUACCGCAUACGAUCUACGGAUGAAAGCAGGGGACCGCAAGGCCUUGCGCGGACGGAGCGGCCGAUGGCAGAUUAGGUAGUUGGUGGGAUAAAAGCUUACCAAGCCGACGAUCUGUAGCUGGUCUGAGAGGACGACCAGCCACACUGGGACUGAGACACGGCCCAGACUCCUACGGGAGGCAGCAGUGGGGAAUUUUGGACAAUGGGCGAAAGCCUGAUCCAGCCAUGCCGCGUGCAGGAUGAAGGCCUUCGGUUGUAACUGCUUUGUACGGAACGAAAGACUCCUUCUAAUAAAGGAGUCCAUGACGGUACCGUAAGAAUAAGACACCGGCGUAACUACGUGCCAGCAGCCGCGGUAACACG
rnacentral:rRNA from 1 species